rnacentral:rRNA from 1 species
GAUGAACGCCGGCGGCGUGCUUAACACAUGCAAGUCGAACGAUGAAGCCCAGCUUGCCGGGUGGAUUAGUGGCGAACGGGUGAGUAACACGUGAGUAACCUGCCCUUAACUCUGGGAUAAGCCUGGGAAACUGGGUCUAAUACCGGAUAGGAGCGUCCACCGCAUGGUGGGUGUUGGAAAGAUUUAUCGGUUUUGGAUGGACUCGCGGCCUAUCAGCUUGUUGGUGAGGUAAUGGCUCACCAAGGCGACGACGGGUAGCCGGCCUGAGAGGGUGACCGGCCACACUGGGACUGAGACACGGCCCAGACUCCUACGGGAGGCAGCAGUGGGGAAUAUUGCACAAUGGGCGCAAGCCUGAUGCAGCGACGCCGCGUGAGGGAUGACGGCCUUCGGGUUGUAAACCUCUUUCAGUAGGGAAGAAGCGAAAGUGACGGUACCUGCAGAAGAAGCACCGGCUAACUACGUG